GACGAACGCUGGCGGCGUGCUUAACACAUGCAAGUCGAACGGAAAGGCCCUGCUUUUGCGGGGUUCUCGAUUGGCGAACGGGUGAGUAACACGCGUGUAACCUGCCCUUGACUUUGGGAUAACUUCUGGAAACUGGGGCUAAUACCGGAUAGGAGCUCCUGCUGCACGGUGGGGGAUGGAAAGUUUCGGCGGUUGGGGAUGGACUCGCGGCUUAUCAGCUUGUUGGUGGGGUAGUGGCUUACCAAGGCUUUGACGGGUAGCCGGCCUUAGAGGGUUACCGGCCACAUGAGGACUGAGAGACGGCCCAGACUGCUACGGGAGGCAGCAGUGGGGAGUAUUGCACAAUGGGGGGAAGCCUGAGACAGCAACGCCGCGUGCGGGAUGACGGCCUUCGGGUUGUAAACCGCUUUCGCCUGUGACGAAGCGUGAGUGACGGUAAUGGGUAAAGAAGCACCGGCUAACUACGUG
rnacentral:rRNA from 1 species